UUCUUAUUUUUAAUGUUUAUGAAUGUACAGGUAAAAAGAAAAUUUCUAAGACUGCUGCAGUGGAUGCCAUGAUGGAAUAAGGUUGAAGCAGGGGAAGCAUGGAGUACUGUAAGGCUCUAGUGUUGGGCUGUAUCCACUGUGCCAACUCUGUGCUUCAAAGAUCUUUAGGUGAGAAUAUAUAUACAUUUUUUUAUCUCACAUCACUGCUGACAUGGGAUGCAAGUAUUACAAAUCCUUGCCAUUAAAUGGCUUGUGACAUUGCGAUGUAGGUUCAGAUCUUGUCCAAUUCAAAUUAGAAAGAAUGUAAUGGUUGAGCUGCUUCUAAAACUUGUUGGCUCGUAAGUGUUUCAGGUUGGAGUUGUUACAAACUCCCUCCAUUAAUGUUAUUGAGAUUCCAAACAAAUAGAAGCAAACUUGAAAUCAGAUUUAA